GUAAGUUGGUUAACUCCCAAGUAUCAUUCCUUUUGAUUGAAGCUAUCUCUUCAUUCAUAGCUUUUCUCCACUUCUCAUCUUUUUCAGCUUCCUCAUAUGUGACAGGAUCACAUUCAGCAAGUAGACAGAACAACGUGUAUUCAUUCAUCAUUUCAACAGGUUCUGUUGAGUCAUAGAUGUUCCUUAAGCUCCUCGUUUUAGCUGGAGCUCCCCCUGAAUUACUGCUACUGCUUGCUGAUGUUGAUGGUGUUGAUUGAGGAGAUGGUUGAUCUGGACUGGGAGGUGGCGUCUGAUCACUAUCUUCUUGAGUUGGCUCUUCAGGGUCAGCAUCAUUGUCCUCGUAGAAUAAUCCUGUGACAGAUUUCUCUUCAUCGGUCCACUUCCAUUGAUCAGCUUCAUCGAAUGUGACAUCUCUGGAAAUUAUGAGCUUCUUGUUA
rnacentral:lncRNA from 1 species